CGGGAUUUAGCUCAAUGGUAUAGGCGCCUGCCUGGCGAGCAGGAAAGUGUGAGUUUGAUCCUCAGUACCAA
rnacentral:tRNA from 1 species